UGCUUGAGCAAGUGCUAGAGGACUGUCCUACAUAGUGAGAGUAUUAAGCAGAAAAUAAUGAAGAUAAGACGCAUCAGAAACUAAACUCAUUCACCAUUGAUUCAUUUGUUCUUCAACAACCUGAUCUUUUGGAUCAAGACAGAGAAUGUCAAAGGAAGAACCAAACGAACAAUUUCUAAACACUAGGGUGACAAAUUAUACACUAUAACAUCUAAACUAAGCUAGAACUGACAUUGUCAACUAUAACUUCCUCAAAACAGGGAAACGGAUCCGACCAGAGGACCAGUAAAAAUCGAUACUUGGAAUAUGAAUUAAGGAAACCAAAGCCAAUCCAAUAGCAUUCAAGCCCCUAUAGACUCAAAAGAGUUGACAAAGAAUAAAAGGAGAGAUUUUUACCUUCCCCUUGUGCCAAUUCUGAUG